rnacentral:rRNA from 1 species
AGUCGAGCGGUAGAGAGAAGCUUGCUUCUCUUGAGAGCGGCGGACGGGUGAGUAAUGCCUAGGAAUCUGCCUGGUAGUGGGGGAUAACGUCCGGAAACGGACGCUAAUACCGCAUACGUCCUACGGGAGAAAGCAGGGGACCUUCGGGCCUUGCGCUAUCAGAUGAGCCUAGGUCGGAUUAGCUAGUUGGUGGGGUAAUGGCUCACCAAGGCGACGAUCCGUAACUGGUCUGAGAGGAUGAUCAGUCACACUGGAACUGAGACACGGUCCAGACUCCUACGGGAGGCAGCAGUGGGGAAUAUUGGACAAUGGGCGAAAGCCUGAUCCAGCCAUGCCGCGUGUGUGAAGAAGGUCUUCGGAUUGUAAAGCACUUUAAGUUGGGAGGAAGGGCAGUAAAUUAAUACUUUGCUGUUUUGACGUUACCGACAGAAUAAGCACCGGCUAACUCUGUGCCAGCAGCCGCGGUAAUACAGAGGGUGCAAGCGUUAAUCGGAAUUACUGGGCGUAAAGCGCGCGUAGGUGGUUCGUUAAGUUGGAUGUGAAAUCCCCGGGCUCAACCUGGGAACUGCAUUCAAAACUGACGAGCUAGAGUAUGGUAGAGGGUGGUGGAAUUUCCUGUGUAGCGGUGAAAUGCGUAGAUAUAGGAAGGAACACCAGUGGCGAAGGCGACCACCUGGACUGAUACUGACACUGAGGUGCGAAAGCGUGGGGAGCAAACAGGAUUAGAUACCCUGGUAGUCCACGCCGUAAACGAUGUCAACUAGCCGUUGGGAGCCUUGAGCUCUUAGUGGCGCAGCUAACGCAUUAAGUUGACCGCCUGGGGAGUACGGCCGCAAGGGUUAAAACUCAAUGAAUUGACGGGGGCCCGCACAAGCGGGUGGAGCAUGUGGUUUAAUUUCGAAGCAACGCGAAGAAACCUUACCAGGCCUUGACAUCCAAUGAACUUUCUAGAAGAUAGAUUGGUGCUUUCGGGAACAUUGAAACAGGUGCUGCAU